ACAGAGAUAGGCAACAUCUGGACACAUCUCUAAGCAGUCAAAACCUAAAAUUGCAUGUCUCUAAGUGGGCCUCCAGAGCCCAGUGCAGCAAGGAGCCCCCAUCCCCAUCUGGCCACACAGAACUUCCCAGGGUGAGGAGAGGAAGCACAGCAGGGCGCCCUGGUGUCCAGGAGGAGGAAGAAAAGGUUCCCCAAGGGCGGCGGGGCAUCCAGCGGAGGAAUCCUGCGUGGUGCUGACGCGGAGGGAUUGGCCGCUUGGUCACUUCCUGCGAGAUGCUGCGGCCUCGCACACUCAGUCAGUGAAGAGCCAGUGGAGAAAGAGGACAAGUCACUGGGUUCUCCAGAGUGGAACUGUUCUCUUGCCGAAGAUGUGCAGCAGGCUCCGGGAGAGGACGUAAGGGCUCAUGGACUCCAGCUGAAAAUCAUCCUGCCUGCUGUCCACCUGCCCCCCACCUGGGGAGGGUCUGGCGGUGGCUGCCAUGGUGGACAUGGAGCCAGCUAUGUGUGAGUUGGUGCAGCCCCCAGAGUGCCUGGUCUCUGAGCCUCGCUGCAGGACUUGAUAGACCCACUGGGCUUCAUCAGCACCAUCCGACCUGUUACGGAAAACAGGGACACCUACAAGAGCUCUGGGGAACAUGAGUGCAGUGAAGAAGUUUCCCAUGAAGAUGAGGGGUUUAUGGGCAUGUCCCAUCUCCUGCAAGCCCAUCAUGCUGUGGAAAGAUUGGAAG